GAUGAACGCUAGCGGCAGGCUUAACACAUGCAAGUCGAGGGGUAUAGGUUUUCGGACCUAGAGACCGGCGCACGGGUGCGUAACGCGUAUGCAAUCUACCUUUUACAGAGGGAUAGCCCAGAGAAAUUUGGAUUAAUACCUCAUAGUAUAAUGAUUCGGCAUCGAGACAUUAUUAAAGUUCCAACGGUAAAAGAUGAGCAUGCGUCCCAUUAGCUAGAUGGUAAGGUAACGGCUUACCAUGGCGACGAUGGGUAGGGGUCCUGAGAGGGAGAGCCCCCACACUGGUACUGAGACACGGACCAGACUCCUACGGGAGGAAGCAGUGAGGAAUAUUGGUCAAUGGGCGCAAGCCUGAACCAGCCAUGCCGCGUGCAGGAUGACGGUCCUAUGGAUUGUAAACUGCUUUUGUACAGGAAGAAACACUGGUUCGUGAACCAGCUUGACGGUACUGUAAGAAUAAGGAUCGGCUAACUCCGUGCCAGCAGCCGCAGUAA
rnacentral:rRNA from 1 species